rnacentral:lncRNA from 1 species
AGGUGGGGGAAGAGUACCUGAAUGAGCUUAUUUGCAGGAGUCUGAUAAAGGCAAAUGAAAUGGACUUUGAUGAAAGGCCAAUAACUGUUGGAGUCCAUAGUCUCAUGCAUAGGAUAAUUCUCUCAGUGUCACAAGAGGAGAACUUCUGUACUGUUUGUGCAGGACCAGAAGGAAACUUGGCUGACAAACCCUGGCGCCUAUCCAUCCAGACGGGAAACUUUCAUCCGGACGGGAAACUUUGAUGUGUCUCAGGACUUAACCUGUGUUCGAACUUUUUUCAGUUUCAGUACAGGUAGGGUAAACAUUGGUUCGAAUUUCAAACUAUUGAAGGUUUUGGACAUACAAAGCACUCCUUUGGGAAACUU